CAGAAGCGAACCCAGCCAUCGUUUCCAAGUACGCGCAGAGAGAGAGAGCCACAAGAGUUAGAGCGAAACAUCAGCGUAUGGAUCUAGGGGCUCGAGCAAGCAAGAGAGGAGAGAUGCCUGCGUCAAUAGAUCAUGUAUGAGGAAGGUAAAAGAUGACCACACCUAGAUCAUAUAUACUAUAUUUAUUUAACCCAUAAUUCUUGAUGUGGCCUCGUUCUAAUCAAUUAGAUCAUGUCAGAUCACCUAUUUAUGUACAGCCCUACUAAUUUAUUAAAAAUGUGAUAUCUUCUAGGUCAAAUAAUUCGUUUUAAUCUAUUCAAGUUGGGUUAGGUUCAUAUUAAUUUUUGCGUAUGUAGUAAUAAUAUUGCUUUAAUUAUGUCACAUGGUUUAAUUAAUUAAUUACUUGUUUAAUUAAUGUUAAUCAGCUAGAUAAUCUAGUUAAGCUAAUUUAUAGUUCUAACCUACACAUUUUAUAAAUAAUUGUUAAUAAUUAAUACUGACUCAAAUAUUUUAAUUGAAUACUUAUUUAGUUUAAAUGCAAUAUUUGUUAGAUCAUAUCUAUUAGAUUUAUUGUGCCUAAACUAUCGUUUUAUCCAUAAAUUCUUUGUUUUAGCUCCGAUUUUACUGGUUCUCGAAACUACAAUCUCGUAGCGACGCGUAGAUUAUUAACACGUAGUUUAUUCUUAUGUUUGGUGUGAUGUUAAUUUUGCCUAUACAUGUUUGUCUGUAUUGCUACGUUUAGCAGUGAGGACACGAGUCAUCUGAAAAGCAAGUUGGUACCUAGAAUCUCAAGUCCCAGGCAAGUUGUGUCCUUGAUCACUUCCUUUUACCCACUCAUGUUCUAAUUAAUCAUAAUGAUCUGCAUAGGUUAAUUUUGAUGGGACCCAAUAGGUUACCCUAGUUUGAUUAUCUUUAUACCUUGUUUACCACUGAACUUUUUGGGUAGUACUUGCUAGUGCUUUAUGUGGUUUUGGGUAUGAAGAUACAUUAUUCAUGAUCACACUGUUAUUAUCCGUUUAUUAUUACUGUUCAUGAUAAGAUCAUUAUGUUAAUUGGAACAUGGAGCGACCACCCGGGAAAACAGUGCUACCACAAGGGUUUAAUGGGACGCCCUUGGCUGAUUAAUUAGGAAAGCUAGUGGAGGACUACCUUACCCGAAAGGGGCAAGGGCAGUAGGGGAGUGGUCAGUGUAGGGAGGCCCUCGGGAGGAUUUUGCUGCGAUGGCGGUCCUGCAAGGGAUUCCUGCAUUGGAGCUUCCUAUAAACUGUAGCGGGUUUUCUGAAGCUAGUGGAACUUUGUAAAGGCCUCGUAGUGUUACCCUGCCUCGCCUCCUCGGUAGAGGUGUAUGGGAAGUCGCGAUCCCUUGGCAGAUGGGUAACAUGACUUGUGGAUAAAGAUGCGCCACCUCUGCAGAGUGUAAAACUGGUAUACUAGCCGUGCUCACGGUCAUGAGCAGCUCGGACCCUCACAUGAUUAAAUUAUGGAACUUAAAUUCAAUUUGUCAUAUGCAUUGCAUCGCAGGUGAUGUUGUUACUUCUGUUCUACUAUAUAAUUGGGUUGGUAUUUACUUAUACUUAGUAAUUGCUAAUAAAAUUUUGACCAACUUUAAAAGCAAUGCUCAGCUCUAACCAUCCUCUUUGGUAAGCCUUACACUUCACAUGAGCUCCCACCUUUAGCGAGUUCAUACACAUUAUUCCCCACAACUUGUUGAGCGAUGAACGUAUGUGAGCUCACUCUUGCUGUCUCACACCCCCCCACAGGUCAAGAACAGGUACCACAGGAUGAGGCGCAAGGAGGAUGCUGCGAUGAGUUCGUGAGAGAUCUAGGCCGUCGUCUCCCAGUCAACUUUGGGUUGCUGGACCGUUGUCUCCUUAUAAUGUAAUUAUUUAUUUUGUAUAGAACUCCUGUUAUAUAUAAAGAUGUGACAUUCGAUCCUGUGCCACUAUACAUCAUAUGUGUGAGACUUGGUCCCAGCAUACCUGGUGUUUAUGUUCGCGCCCGGGUCUUGGUGCCCCGAAACCCGGGUGUGACAGUCCUCCGGCAUGCCGAGAUGAUUGCCUUCGGAGGGACCCCCUAGAUCGACGUGGAAACAUUCGCGGCUUGGGCCGCAGUCCUCAUCGCCGAGGCUGCGGCUACCGUCGGAACAGUCGGAGAGGCAGUAGUCACAUGCGGUCAUGAAGCCCCGUAUGGCACUGGGGUUGCCAAGUCCAGAGAAAUCCCAACAGAUGCUGGGCUCGUCGUCUUCCUCGGACCCAGAGGGCCCGUAGGUCGAGACGUCCGUCAGCCGGUCCCAAGGCGACCGCAUGCGAAAC
rnacentral:lncRNA from 1 species